rnacentral:lncRNA from 1 species
UCGUGUCCUGUCGUAGUAAAGCGUGUGGAUUCUUGUGUUAGUUAAUAAGGCAUUGUUAGUUAGGUGAAUAAAAUCUUUUAUUUUCAUAUAUCUUCCUCUAAAGAUGUCCCUUGAGGCUUACUUUACGAUAGAGAAGGCCACUUUUGUUAUCCUUUAGGGUAUCAACCCACGUGGGUCGAAAAGUCAUAAAUAUUUUUUGUUACUAUAUUGAUUUGAAAUAUUUAUAAUCCAGAUCAUGUACAAUAUAAAUUUUAACAAAAUAAAUAUAUUAUUAAUAACUGAUUAAUAUUUUAAUUUUGAUUUAUUUUAUAAUUUAGAUGUAUGAUUUGUUAUAA